GUCAGGAUGGCCGAGUGGUCUAAGGCGCCAGACUCAAGUUCUGGUCUUCGUAAGAGGGCGUGGGUUCAAAUCCAACUUCUGACA
rfam:Spinacia oleracea cultivar SynViroflay scaffold3626.con0003.1, whole genome shotgun sequence.